rnacentral:lncRNA from 1 species
GGUUCAAAUUCGUCUUUAGGGAGAAUAUGAAAGUUUGAUAUUUAGAUUUCAUAUUUGUGUUAUCAAUGAUUUCUUGGUGAACAAGUGGCUAGUAAUAUUCUGGAACCUCUAGGUUCGUUUAAGAGUUAAGAGUUUUUUGUUUUUCUAUUUAAGCCAACUUAUGUAUCUGUAUUGAGUAAUCAUCUUAUUAUCUUCCUUUUAUAUAAUGGGAACUAUUAUUCACACUCUAAAAUCUAAUUGUACACUUCUCAUAAGAGUACUGGUCUUUAUAAAUUUGGAGUGCACAAUUAAUUUUACUAAUAGAUUCCAUAUUGCUAGUGAAUUCUAACUUAUGGUAUUUCAUUUGAUUCCCUUGUUUAUUAUAUCAUUUUGCAUCAAAAUGACUCCAUAUUACUUCUCCUAUUAGUUGCUGCAUCUGAAGAUGAGAAUAAGCUAUGGGCUGGUUUGGGGUUGCUUAAAUUUGUUUAAAGCAGCUUCUUAAAAAAGUUGGAGCCUUAAUUGUGUUUAGUAAAUGAAAAAAAAUGUUUUUUUCUCUUCAAAAUCAUGGGUCCAAAAUAGCAGAAAGUAAAAGUAGCUUUACGCAUGUUUAUCAAAAAAAUGUUUUGUUUUUUAUUUUUUUUAUUUUUUUUAAUUCAUUUGAGACAAGUGAACAAUACCAAUUAAUGAACUUUUAUAUUGACAAUCAUACCCCAUAAUUUUUUUUAUUAAAAGCACUUUUAGCACUAUAUUUUAGCAAAACAUUUACUCUUUUUUUCACAGUUAUUUAUUCUUACAACACAUCAAAAACAGUUUUAAAGAAACCAUCAAUCCCAAACUAGCCCUUGCAACACUUGUGUUAAGAAACCACUAUUGAAGUAGUUGAAUAUCAGAGUGCGCAUACCACAAUGAACAAACAAACGGAUUACAAAACUAGAAAUAUUAUUGAUAUCGAACACUACAAAAUCGCCGAG